AACGAACGCUGGCGGCAGGCUUAACACAUGCAAGUCGAACGCUCGUAGCAAUACGGGAGUGGCGGACGGGUGAGUAACGCGUGGGAACGUGCCCUGAGGUACGGAAUAACUGCGGGAAACUGCAGCUAAUACCGUAUGAGCCCCGCAAGGGGGAAAGAUUUAUCGCCUUGGGAGCGGCCCGCGUCGGAUUAGCUAGUUGGUGGGGUAACGGCCUACCAAGGCUUCGAUCCGUAGCUGGUCUGAGAGGACGAUCAGCCACACUGGGACUGAGACACGGCCCAGACUCCUACGGGAGGCAGCAGUGGGGAAUCUUGCGCAAUGGGGGCAACCCUGACGCAGCCAUGCCGCGUGAAUGAUGAAGGCCUUAGGGUUAUAAAGUUCUUUUGCCCGUGACGAUGAUGACGGUAACGGGAGAAUAAGCUCCGGCUAACUUCGUG
rnacentral:rRNA from 1 species